UCGAGCGAAUGGAUUAAGAGCUUGCUCUUAUGAAGUUAGCGGCGGACGGGUGAGUAACACGUGGGUAACCUGCCCAUAAGACUGGGAUAACUCCGGGAAACCGGGGCUAAUACCGGAUAACAUUUUGAACCUCAUGGUUCGAAAUUGAAAGGCGGCUUCUGCUGUCACUUAUGGAUGGACCCGCGUCGCAUUAACUAAUUGGUGAGGUAACGGCUCACCAAGGCAACGAUGCGUAACCGACCUGAAAGGGUGAUCGGCCACACUGGGACUGAAACACGGCCCAAACUCCUACGGGAGGCAGCAGUAGGGAAUCUUCCGCAAUGGACGAAAGUCUGACGGAACAACGCCGCGUGAGUGAUGAAGGCUUUCGGGUCGUAAAACUCUGUUGUUAGGGAAGAACAAGUGCUAGUUGAAUAAGCUGGCACCUUGACGGUACCUAACCAGAAAGCCACGGCUAACUACGUGCCAGCAGCCGCGGUAAUACGUAGGUGGCAAGCGUUAUCCGGAAUUAUUGGGCGUAAAGCGCGCGCAGGUGGUUUCUUAAGUCUGAUGUGAAAGCCCACGGCUCAACCGUGGAGGGUCAUUGGAAACUGGGAGACUUGAGUGCAGAAGAGGAAAGUGGAAUUCCAUGUGUAGCGGUGAAAUGCGUAGAGAUAUGGAGGAACACCAGUGGCGAAGGCGACUUUCUGGUCUGUAACUGACACUGAGGCGCGAAAGCGUGGGGAGCAAACAGGAUUAGAUACCCUGGUAGUCCACGCCGUAAACGAUGAGUGCUAAGUGUUAGAGGGUUUCCGCCCUUUAGUGCUGAAGUUAACGCAUUAAGCACUCCGCCUGGGGAGUACGGCCGCAAGGCUGAACUCAAAGGAAUUGACGGGGGCCCGCACAAGCGGUG
rnacentral:rRNA from 1 species